rnacentral:rRNA from 1 species
UACGAAGGGGGCUAGCGUUGUUCGGAAUUACUGGGCGUAAAGGGCUCGUAGGCGGCCAACUAAGUCAGACGUGAAAUCCCUCGGCUUAACCGGGGAACUGCGUCUGAUACUGGAUGGCUUGAGUUUGGGAGAGGGAUGCGGAAUUCCAGGUGUAGCGGUGAAAUGCGCAGAUAUCAGGAGGAACACCGGUGGCGAAGGCGGUGGUCUGGGCCGGCACUGACGCUGAGGAGCGAAAGCGUGGGGAGCAAACAGG